rnacentral:misc_RNA from 1 species
GAUGAAGAACUUAGCGAAAUGCGAUAAGUAGUGUGAAUUGCAGAAUUCAGUGAAUCAUCGAAUCUUUGAACGCACAUUGCGCCCUUUGGUAUUCCAAAGGGCAUGCCUGUUCGAGCGUCAUUUGUACCCUCAAGCUUUGCUUGGUGUUGGGCGUCUUGUCUCUAGCUUUGCUGGAGACUCGCCUUAAAGUAAUUGGCAGCCGGCCUACUGGUUUCGGAGCGCAGCACAAGUCGCACUCUCUAUCAGCAAAGGUCUAGCAUCCAUUAAGCCUUUUUUUUCAACUUUUGACCUCGGAUCAGGUAGGGAUACCCGCUGAACUUAAGCAUAUCAAUAAGCGGAGGA